AAUCAACGCUGGCGGCGUGCCUAACACAUGCAAGUCGAACGCGAAAGUCCCGCAAGGGAUAAGUAGAGUGGCAAACGGGUGAGUAACACGUGGGUGACCUGCCUUCGAGCGGGGGAUAACGUCCCGAAAGGGACGCUAAUACCGCAUAACAUCCUGCCUUUGAAGAGGCGGUGAUCAAAGCUGGGGAUCGCAAGACCUAGCACUCGAAGAGGGGCCCGCGUCCGAUUAGCUAGUUGGUGGGGUAAUGGCCCACCAAGGCAACGAUCGGUAGCCGGCCUGAGAGGGCGGAAGGCCACACUGGGACUGAGACACGGCCCAGACUCCUACGGGAGGCAGCAGUAGGGAAUCUUCCGCAAUGGACGAAAGUCUGACGGAGCAACGCCGCGUGAGUGAUGAAGGUUUUCGGAUCGUAAAACUCUGUUGUUAGGGAAGAACAAGUACGAGAGUAACUGCUCGUACCUUGACGGUACCUAACCAGAAAGCCACGGCUAACUACGUGCCAGCCGCCGCCGUAAUAC
rnacentral:rRNA from 1 species